CAGCCUUUAUUUGCUUAGCGGUCAGCGAAGCAGAGCAUCAUCUUCUGGGAAGGCUGUCCCCACUGAGGGCUUGUUAAUUCAUCAUCAGUGAAUUUAUGGUGCCCUGGAAAGUGAAGCUCUGUGCUAGACAAGGCACAACCAUUUUGUAACAGUGAUGGAAAAUGCCCUAAAGAGAAGAAAUAAACAAGGAAAAGCCUCCCAAGAGCCAAAGCCUUACUGGGGUCUUAAAAGGAAAUCAUUUUCUUCACGAGGUAAGA